rnacentral:rRNA from 1 species
GAUGAACGCUGGCGGCGUGCCUAAUACAUGCAAGUCGAGCGAACAGACGAGGAUCUUGCUCCUCUGACGUUAGCGGCGGACGGGGGAGUAACACGUGGAUAACCUACCUAUAAGACUGGGAUAACUUCUGAAAACCGGAACUAAUACCGGAUAAUAUAUUGAACCGCAGGGUUCAAUAGGCGAAGGCGAUUUUGCUGUCACUUAUAGGUGGAUCCGCGCCGGCUUAGCUAGUUGUUAAGGGAACGGUUUUCCACGGCCACGGUGGGUAGCCGACCUCGGAGGGUGAUCGGCCACACUGGCACUGAGACUCGGUCCAGACUCCUACGGGAGGCAGCAGUAGGGGAUGUUACGCAAUGGGCGAAAGCCUGACGGAGCAACGCCGCGUGAGUGAUGAAGGUCUUCGGAUCGUAAAACUCUGUUACUAGGGAAGAACAAAUGUGUAAGUAACUAUGCACGUCUUGACGGUACCUAAUCAGAAAGCCACGGCUAACUACGUG